AGAAUCUUUCGCAAUGCCCGAAAGGGUGACGAAGCGACGCCGCGUGUGGGAAGAAGGCCUUCGGGUUGUAAACCACUGUCGGGAGUUAAGAAAUGCAAGGGUGUUAAUAGCGCCCUUGCUUGACUAAGGCUCCGGAGGAAGCUACGGCUAACUCUGUGCCAGCAGCCGCGGUAAUACAGAGGUGGCAAGCGUUGUUCGGAAUUAUUGGGCGUAAAGAGCACGUAGGCGGCCUUGAAAGUCAGUUGUGAAAUCCUUCCGCUUAACGGAAGAACUGCAUCUGAUACUCCAGGGCUCGAGUGCGGGAGGGGAGAGUGGAACUUCUGGUGGAGCGGUGAAAUGCGUAGAUAUCAGAAGGAACGCCGGCGCCGAAAGCGGCUCUCUGGUCCGUAACUGACGCUGAGUGUGCGAAAGCUAGGGGAUCAAACGGGAUUAGAUACCCCGGUAGUCCUAGCCGUAAACGAUGGGCACUAAGUAGAGGGGUUUUGAUUAUCUCUCUGCCGGAGCUAACGCAUUAAGUGCCCCGCCUGGGAAGUACGGCCGCAAGGCUAAAACUCAAAAGAAUUGACGGGGGCUCGCACAAGCGGUGGAGCAUGUGGCUUAAUUCGAUGCAACGCGAAGAACCUUACCGGGGUUUGACAUGGUAGAAGUAGGAACCAGAAACGGUAACAAACGGUAUCCAGUCCGUAACUAUCACAGGUGUUGCAUGGCUG
rnacentral:rRNA from 1 species